rnacentral:lncRNA from 1 species
CGAGGAGGGGGAGGAGGCUCCCAGAGCCAGCCUGCCAGCCACUGAGAAACCUUUGUAUCCCCUCUCGCAGCAACAGGUCACACCACACGCCUUUUCGAAGGAAGUGGGUAAACAGCACUAAGACUACGUGGGUUUUUUUUUCUUUAAACUUAAUAUUGAUUUACUUUUUGGUGCAGGGUACUUAAAUGAGGAUGGGACGCGGGAAGCAGCUAAGGUGCGGGGGUGGGGCAGGGCACAGUGGGUGGCUCAGGGCGGCUGUCCAACUCGUAUUUCUGGAAACAGCCAGUGCAGGAGUUGGUGUGUCAUUGUUCUCCCGCUCAUCCACAGCACUCCCCCCCAACUCCAGCCCCUCUGGUGCCGCUCCCGUACUGCGCUCUUCCGCUCUCCUCUCUUACCUUACAGGUGCCAACACUCUCUCACGCCCUUCUCACAGUCCCGACUAGAAGUUAGGAGACCCAAACCUCUGUCCUCAAAACCUUCCUUGCUUCCACGUAACUUGCUCUGUUCUUAAAAAUAAAUCCUGCUCGGACCAUAAGGCAGACUCUAGAGCUGAGAACCAGCAGGCCUUGGUGUAAUAUUAAGGUAAACACGGACCUGGAGAUUAGGAAAGAGAAAAGGUUGAGAAGAUCUGGGGAAGAGAAGGCGGCCACCGGCUUUUCAGCGCGGCUGGUUUCAGGGAUGUGGCUGGUGCGCCCCCUGCUGGUAGAUUCGCUUUUCCAAGACUAUUGCUUUUACCUUUAAAAGAAGCACCUUGCCUUUAAUUUCCAGAAGUGGUAUUACACUUAACAAAUGAACAAGGGAUAACAAUUGCUGUUUCAGUCCAGACCCAAUUUCACCAAAUAAUUUCACUCAAGAGCUAUUAUUGACAAGCACCGUGGGCUCAAUGGUGUCAAGUUGUACUUGUGGUUUCAACACCCCGCAGCAACCCACGUAGCCGCUGGGCCCUGGAUUAGGACCCCCAGUCUGGCAGUGCUUAUCUGCCCGUCUGAGUGAUGGAGAGAUGAGUAUCAGUCUAUACCUCAACUGCUUCAAGCCCGCCUGGGCUUUCUCCCUGGCGCCUUUGUCUGUGUCAGGGUUGGAGCAACGAAACUGAAAGAUCUCCAGAGUUUGAAAACAGAGUGAAAGAGCAAAUUUAAUAAAUGAGAGCUCAGCCUUGAAUCUUAGUCUUUAUUAAUAGAGUCAUGUCCCUCACACCCAAAUAACUAUCAAACUUCAAACCACAUGUACUGUUUUUCAGAGUUCGGGUUCUUUCCUGGGUUCAUCAUGAAAGGUGUGAGGGAUGAAGGGGAAAAGGGUCUGAGGAGUUGGCAGG